rnacentral:rRNA from 1 species
UACGGAGGGGGCUAGCGUUGUUCGGAAUUACUGGGCGUAAAGCGCGCGUAGGCGGACCUGCAAGUCGGGGGUGAAAGCCCGGAGCUCAACUCCGGAACUGCCUUUAAGACUGCAUCGCUUGAACGUCGGAGAGGUAAGUGGAAUUCCGAGUGUAGAGGUGAAAUUCGUAGAUAUUCGGAAGAACACCAGUGGCGAAGGCGACUUACUGGACGACUGUUGACGCUGAGGUGCGAAAGCGUGGGGAGCAAACAGG